UGAGCCGGUGGUGAAGUAGUUACUGGGCUUGUUUUAGCUGAGGUCUGUGUAAACCCGUUUGGCAGAGGCAGUGUCUGAGGGUUAUGUAGGCCUCCUCUUGCAGAGAGUCGGAACAGUAUUGGUUUACUGCUUCAAGUAUCCACGUGGGAUUUAUAACAAGAAACAGUGUUCAGGACGGGUUUUGAUAUCCUAGGCCAGACAAAAGAAGUGGAGUCCAUGCAGGGCACGGCAUGUAGUCAUACUUUUAAGAGCACAGCUCCCAGGGAAUUUGUGGUGCUGCUUGGUCUGGAAUGCAGAUCUUAAGUUCUUACUAGUUCUGUGGAGGUCUGUCAGCACAUCAGGAGCCAAGGGAAGCAUCUGACAGGAAAAGUGGUCUGUCAGGAGCUGCUCAGUUGUUUCUGAUAACUCCAACUCUAUGCUAAUCAUAACUCUGGCACUGUGUUUCUCCAUCUGUGUGGAAGAAAAGACCAUGGGAGGAGCGGGUGGCAGCAGUGCAUGCACUAAUGCUACAGCAUUCACCGUAAGCAAGAUUUCAUUGGCAUAGCAUCACACGUUGUUAUUGUGAUUAAUUAUUCCCCUCAAUAGUGUAUCCUGAUGCAAGAAAUAAAAAGAAUGACAGGCAGUCCUUACCCUGCCUUUCUCUACCAUAGUGCCUGAGAAUUCUCUGGCCUUGUGGCUGUGCUGUCUGUAUCUUCAAUAGAUUUGUAGCAUAUUUAUUUUCUACAGGGGGCAAACCUCUGUCCUCUCUAGAGAUGUACUGAGGAUCAUGCUUUUUCAUACAGAAGCUUUUAGCUUCUGUUUUGUUGCCUGUUUCCUUCACAGUGG